GACGUAGGGUGCGAGCGUUGUCCGGAUUUAUUGGGCGUAAAGAGCUCGUAGGCGGCUCGUCGCGUCGACCGUGAAAACCCGCGGCUUAACUGCGGGCUUGCGGUUGAUACGGGCGGGCUAGAGUUCGGUAGGGGAGACUGGAAUUCCUGGUGUAGCGGUGAAAUGCGCAGAUAUCAGGAAGAACACCCGUGGCGAAGGCGGCUCUCUGGGACGGUACUGACACUGAGACGCGAAAGCGUGGGGAGCGAACAGG
rnacentral:rRNA from 1 species